rnacentral:rRNA from 1 species
CAAUAGCGUAUAUUAAAGUUGUUGCAGUUAAAAAGCUCGUAGUUGGAUUUCUGAUCGAGACAUCAGGUCGGGUCCGAGAGGAUCAUGUACUUUGAUUUUGUUUUGAUCAUCCUUGGGGAGAGCAUUUCUGGCAUUCAGUUGUCGGGAUUGGGAUCCUCAUCGUUUACUGUGAAAAAAUUAGAGUGUUCAAAGCAGGCCUCGGCCUCUGAAUACAUUAGCAUGGAAUAAUAAGAUAGGACCUUGGUGGUCUAUUUUGUUGGUUUGCACGCCAAAGUAAUGAUUAAUAGGGAUAGUUGGGGGUAUUCGUAUUCAAUUGUCAGAGGUGAAAUUCUUGGAUUUAUGGAAGACGAACUACUGCGAAAGCAUUUACCAAGGAUGUUUUCAUUAA